ACUUGGAUCGCUCAGUUAGUAGAGCAUGGGACUCUUAAUCUCAGGGUUGUGGGUUCGAGCCCCACAUUGGACA